CAUGAAGAAGUAGCAGUAACAUUAUACACAUGCAAAACCCAAUAGAAUCCAUCACAAAUGAAUACGGACCGACCGACCACCAAUGAUGCCUCAAAUAAUCCACCACUACCACCCUACCAAAAGGAGGAAGGAAAAAACUCUGCUCUGUUCUGCUCAGAAGAGCUUGUACGGGGAGGAGGCGUCGAGAGGGUGGAUCAGGUAGGUGAGCACCAAGGCCACGAUCAUCAGCAGGUACGCGAUGCCCUGGUCAAUCGAUGUUCCUGCAAAAACAGAUCAGGCAUAAUUCCUUUAGCUAAGGAAAAUUAUCUGGGGGCGAAAUGUAAUAGUUGAAGCUACAGCAAAGCAAAGGACGAGCAGUAUUCAAGGAGUAAAUCUGCUCUGUAUCGUGUCAGGUGACUCACCGUCGCUGGUGGGCGCCGGCGCGGGGGCCUGCGCGGCGGCGAGGGCCGGCAUGGCGAUGGCGAAGACGAGCGCCGCCGCGACGGCGAGGCCGAAAGGAGUGGUUCUUGAUGCCAUGGCGGCUGGUGAUGGGAUGGGAGUGCGCGUGAUUCGGGGGGAGGGAGAAGAGGAACGAGCAAGAAGAAAUCUCUGUGGCCGAGGGAUACGCGCCUAUCUCUCUGCUUGUACGCAUGUGCAUUCGCUCCUCUCUCCCCCCUUUAAAACGCCUCUCCCUCCCUCUCUCUCUCUCUCUCUAGAGUCCAGACUCCAGAGCGUAAUAAUUUAGCGGCAACGGCUCUCUCUCUCUCUCCCUUCCUCUCUGUGUGU
rnacentral:lncRNA from 1 species